rnacentral:rRNA from 1 species
UUGAUCCUGGCUCAGAUUGAACGCUGGCAGGAUGCUUUACACAUAAGUCGAACGGCACAGUUUCGGGGUCUGGUGGCGAGUGGCGAACGGGUGAGUAAUGUAUGGAACGUGCCUAGUAGCGGGGGAUAACUACGCGAAAGCGUAGCUAAUACCGCAUACGCCCUUCGGGGGAAAGCAGGGGACCUUCGGGCCUCGCACUAUUAGAGCGGCCGAUAUCGGAUUAGCUAGUUGGUGGGGUAACGGCUCACCAAGGCGACGAUCCCGUAGCUGGUUUGAGGAGGACGACCAGCCACACUGGGACUGAGACCACGGCCCAGACUCCUGCGAAGAACGGCAGUAGGUACUGGACAAUGGGGGAAACCUGAUCCAGCCAUCCGCGUGUGCGAUGAAGGCCCCUUCGGGUUUGUAAAGCACUUUUGGCAGGAAAAAACAGCCUGGGAUAAUACCCGUGCAACUGAUGCCUUUACGGAAUAUAAGCACCGGCUAACUACGUGCCAACAUUAUGACAAUACGUAGGGUGCAAGCGUUGAUGAGAUUACUGGAGGCGUAAAGCGUACUUUGAGCGGUUCGGAAAGAAAGAUGUAGAAAUCCCAGGCUUAACUGGAACUGCAUUUUUAACUGCCAAGCUAGAGUGUGUGUCGGAGGAGGUGGAAUUCGCGUGUAGCAGUGAUGCGUAGAUAUGCGGAGGAACACCGUGGCGAAAGCCUCUGGGAUAACACUGACGGCGCUCAUGCGAAAGCGAUGAGGAGCAAACAGGAUUAGAUGCCCUGGUAGUCCACGCCCUAAACGAUGUCAACCUAGCUGUUGGGACUGGGCUGGUAGCGCAACUAACGCGUGAAGUUGACCGCCUGGGAGUACGGUCGCAAGAUUAAAAACUCAAAGGAAUUGACGGGGACCCACUGAAAGCAGUGGAUGAUGGAUUAAUUCAGUGCUUGAAAAACCUUACCUAUGUGUCUGGGAAUCGAAGAGAUUUGGGAGUGCUCGCAAGAGAACCGGAACACAGGUGCUGCAUGGCUGUCGUCAGCUCGUGUCGUGAGAUGUUGGGUUAAGUCCACCAACGAGCGCAACCCUUGUCAUUAGUUGCUACGAGGCACUCUAAAUGGACACCAUGCCGGUGACAAACCGGAGGAAGGUGGGGAUGACGUCAAGUCCUCCCAUGGCCCUUAUGGGUAAGACUACACGUCAUACAAUGGUCGGGACGGUGUUAACCUGGGGAGCCAAUCCGAAACCCGAUCGUAGUUCGGAUCGCAGUCUGCAAGCUCGACUGCGUGAAGUCCGGAAUCGCUAGUAAUCGCGGAUCAGCAUGUCGCGGUGAAUACGUUCCGGGUCUUGUACCACGCCCGUCACACCAUGGGAGUGGGUUUGCCAAUCGUUGCUUCUUCGUGAAGGAGGGCGAUUACCACGGUAAGUUCAUGACUGGGGUGAAGUCGUAACAAGGUAG